rnacentral:rRNA from 1 species
CGCCUGUUUAUUAAAAACAUGGCUUUCUGAUUUGAAGAUAUAGAAGGUCUCACCUGCUCGAUGACGUUUUGUUAAAUGGCCGCUUUUUGUGCUAAGGUAGCGCGGUGAGUAGCUCCUUAAUUGGGAGAUAGGAUGAAUGGUUGGACGUGGAGAGGCUGUUUCCAGCGUAGUAAACUAGAAAUUUUUUUUUAAGUGAAAAAGCUUAAAUUUUUGUAAAAGACGAUAAGACCCUGUCGAACUUAAUUAGGUUUAAAAUAUUAAAUAGUGGUAGUUGUUUUAGUUAGUUAUUCUUUGUUUUAGGGUGUAAAAUUGUUUUUAUGUAGUUAAAUUUUUAUUUAUUAAGUUUGUUUACACUUUAAGGUUAGUUUACUUAAAUCAAGUUAUUUAAAUAAUAUAUUAUUUCUGAAUCUUUGUUGGGGCAACAGAUGUUUAUUAAACAACAUUUUUUUAUUAUAAAGACCCUAUAUGAUAGACUAGAGCAAAAGUUACCGCAGGGAUAACAGCGUAAUUUUUUUUUGUAAAUUUUAUUGGAAAAAAAGUUUACGACCUCGAUGUUGAAUUAAGAAAACUUUAUGGCUUAGGCGCUAUAAUGAGUAAAACUGUUCGUUUUUUAAUUUCUUACAUGAUCUGAGUUCAGACCGG